CCAUUGCUAGCAUCACAGAAGGGAAUAAAUUCCUUCUCAAAAUCAGAAAAGGCUAGUUCUGUAUCAGAAAUCAAUACUGUCUUCAGUGUCUUGAAUGCUGUUUAAUAAUUGCUUAAAUCCAGAAAUGAUUGUACAGGGUGUCCGAAAAGACUUUCCCUGAUUACAUAAAUUGAUAACUCAGGCUAGAAGUAAGAUAAAAAUAUGAAACUUGUGUUGAAUUGUUAACAACUAUCAAAGUUUUUUUUCUGUUUUAGGUUCUCAGUACGUAAGUAGUGGAUGAGGUGCAGUGCCCAAGAAGCCAUGUUAACCAAUCAGGAGAAGGCACAGUGUGUCCUUUGGUACCAUGAGACACGAUUACCAACCACAGUGCAGACACACUUCCAGACAACAUUUGGAAGGAAUCCACCUGAUGUCAAGAGCAUUAAAGCCUGACCCAGCUCUAACACAACCAGCAAUAUUAUCAACAGUAGGAUCAGCAGCUGAAUAACUACCAGCGGAGCCAGACACAAGAAAAUUCUGCUGCAGAUGAUAAUAGAAGAUUAGGUGCAGUCGGGAAAAGAAAAGCAGUACUUCCAGCACACCUGAAUGAUUUUUUAUUGACAAGUUAAAGGUAAGUGAUCAAUUAAAUAUGCCAAAGUCUAACAAUAUGCCAAAUCCUAACAAAUCCUUUAAUUUCAUGCUGAUUCAUCAAAAUGUCCAAUCAUUGCUAAACAAAUUAAGUGAAGUUGAAAUUUUAUGUACUGGUGAGCUAAAAAACGCUUCUGUAAUGUGUAUAACUGAACACUGGCUGCCUAAAGAUGCAACGUCAGUCACAAAACUCGCAGACUUCAAUCUUUCAUCAUCAUUUUCUAGAAUUACAUACAGUCAUGGAGGGUCAUGUAUAUUUGUUAAAAUGGCAUUGAUUAUUGUAACAUAAAACCCAUUGAACUGUUAGCUGAAGAGAAAGUUUUUGAAGUAUCCGCAGUUGAACUCUCUGCAUUAAAAUUAAUAAUCAUUUGUGUAUAUAGGAGGCCUGAUGGGAACUUAAAUGAUUUCUGUCAUCAACUAGAAGCAGCUUUAAAUACUAUAAAAAACUUCAACAAAACAGUGAUCAUAUGUGGAGAUUUUAAUAUUGGUUUUCAAGAAAUCUCAAAAGACCAGCAAAGCUUGAUGACCCUACUAGAAACACACAACAUAAAAACCACCAUAGACUCUCCUACAAGAGUUACACCAACAACUAGCUCAACAAUUGAUCAGAUAUUAAUAAACACAAAUGUAAAUCACAAUUUCUGUGCCGGAAAUCUUAAUACUGGCUUCAGUGAUCACUAUGCACAGUUUAUUGCUUUGCACAUCCCAAGUGAAACAACUGAGAAAGAGGAACUUGUAAAAGAAGCAAGGAAAUUCACUAACAUACAAAUAAACCUUUUUGUACAGAGACUAAGUGAAGAAACUUGGUAUGAAGUGUAUACUUGUGAAAAUACUAACAAAAAGUUUGAAAAAUUCAUGGAAAUCUUCAUGUCAUACUUUGAAGGUGCAUUUCCAUUAAAAAAAAACAAGAAUGUCAACCUAACUUCAAAAAGAACAAAUGGAUUACAACAGGUAUUAGAAUCUCUUGUGCAGAGAAAAGAAGAUUACACGAUAUACCAAAGACACAGAACAUGCCUCUGAAUUUCAUUUGUACCUGAAGAAUUACAAGAGGAUCCUCAAAAACGUUGUAAGGAAAGCUAAAACAAUGGCAAAUGACAAAUACAUUGAAAAUUCAAAAAACAAAUUGAAAGCUAUAUGGGAAGUUACAACAAGUGAAAUUUAACAAUAUAAAAAUAUGAACUUAUGUUAUGAAGGACAAAUGAUUUCUUGCCCAACAGAAAUUGAAGGGACCUUCAACAAAUAUUUUGCAAACAUAAGUGAACAGUUGGUGAGUGGACUGGAAGAACACAACAAAAUAUCACCUCCAUCAUGCAAUAGUGGGAGAAAUGUGUCUAAAUCUUUGUUCCUUUCAUCCACAAAUACUGAAGAAAUUUUAUCAGUUAUAAAAACCUUGAAAACAGGGUACUCAUGUGGAAUUGAUGGAGUACCAGAUGCAAUUAUUAAAAAAAUGCUGUCUUGCCUUAGCUGAACCCUUGAUACAUUUGUGCAACAGCUCACUGGCAUCAGGAACCUUCCCUUCAUGCUUAAAAACAGCAAAACUGAAAUGACUGCUCAAAAAAGGAAAUCCAGAAUGUGUUUCAAAUUAUAGACCAAUAGCCCUACUGCCUGUAUUUUCAAAAAUUUUAGAAAAAGUUUUUUUUUUUUAUAAGAGAUUGUCUGAUUUCCUAAAUAAAAAUAAAAUUCUCUCUCCUUCACAGCAUGGCUUCAGGAAAGGCUAUUCAACUGAAAGUGCAAUAUUUGAAUUUCUUAAUGAAAUCUAUACUAAACUGGAUGCAAGUGAGUUUGUGACAGGCAUACAUCUUGAUUUAUCUAAAGCUUUUGACGUCAUUGACCAUAAUGCCCUACUGCAGAAGCUUGACCAAUUAGGAAUUAGAGGUAUAUCCAAUGAGUGGCUCAAGACAUACCUAUGUGGUCGCAAACAGGUGGUUGAAGGGCAAUAUACUGACCAUAACAAAAUCAGCUACUACUAUUCAGGAUAUGAAAAUGUGAAAUAUGGCGUCCAUCAAGGAUCAGUAUUGGGACCCAUUCUGUUUCUCCUCUAUGUCAAAGAUCCUAUGUACAACAAGUAUUGCCAAACUACCCUCCAAUUUGCAGACAAUACAAGCUUCCUUAUUAGUGGUAAAACAGAAGAAAAACUUAAAGACUCCGCUAUCCAAACAAUGAAGAGUGUAGAACAGUGGUUCAGCUACAACAAGCUAAUUAUAAACAAAGAAAAGACAGUAGCACUGAACUUCUGUAAUGUAAAAGGAAGACACCACCCAAACAUAGAAAUAGAACUUAGGGACAGAGUUUUUGAAAGUGUUGACAGCACUAAAUUUCUGGGACUCUGGCUCCAGAGCAACACAAAAUGGCAGGUACACACUGAAUAUUUGCAAAGAAAACUAAGCAAAACCUGUUACAUGAUACGGAUCUUAAAAACUUGUUGCAGCAAAGCCAGCCUGUUAAAUGUAUACUACUGCUAUGUGCACUCUGUAAUUAAAUAUGGUAUAAUCUUCUGGGGAAAUACAACAACAAAUAUUAAACUUUUCAGGAUGCAAAAGAGAAUACUAAGAAUUAUUGAAGGGGUAAACAAUACGAAAUCACGCAGACCCAUAUUCAAAAAACUGUCAGUUCUUCCUCUUCCUUGCAUUUUUAUCUUCGAAACAUCAGUUUUCAUCAAACAAUAUAUCGAUAGACACCCAGACAUCUUAUUAAAAAAUGAAGAUAUACAUGCACACAAUACAAGGCAAAAAUCUGACCUUCAUAUGAAACAGGUGAGAACAUCAUUGUGCCAAAAAGGAACACUACAUACUGGGAUAAAGAUUUUCAAUAAUCUACCUAACCAUAUUAAAACAAUAGGUAAACUCUGUAGUUUUAAGGCUGAAGUAAAGGCAUAUUUAAUUGAUCAUUACUUUUACAGUCUGACAGCCAAACAACAAAAAUAAAGAUGCAUUAUUAAUAUUCUACUUUGUAUGUUGCCUGUAGUGUUUGUUGUAUGUAUGAAUCUUUGCUAAAUUACUUCAAUAUCUAGUCCUUAGGAUUGCAAUACAAACUGUAUUUUAUCUUGUAAAUACCUAAUCAUGUCAAAUAUCCUUGUAUAUAUUCUAUACAUAUAGGAUUUGAAGGACUAAAUAAAUAAAUAAAGGUGUUAAGUUGUUCAGAA